rnacentral:rRNA from 1 species
AUUGAACGCUGGCGGCAGGCCUAACACAUGCAAGUCGAGCGGAUGACGGGAGCUUGCUCCUUGAUUCAGCGGCGGACGGGUGAGUAAUGCGUAGGAAGCUACCCGAUAGAGGGGGAUACCAGUUGGAAACGACUGUUAAUACCGCAUAAUGUCUACGGACCAAAGUGUGGGACCUUCGGGCCACAUGCUAUCGGAUGCGCCUACGUGGGAUUAGCUAGUUGGUGGGGUAAUGGCUCACCAAGGCGACGAUCCCUAGCUGGUUUGAGAGGAUGAUCAGCCACACUGGAACUGAGACACGGUCCAGACUCCUACGGGAGGCAGCAGUGGGGAAUAUUGGACAAUGGGCGCAAGCCUGAUCCAGCCAUGCCGCGUGUGUGAAGAAGGCCUUCGGGUUGUAAAGCACUUUCAGUAGGGAGGAAGGGUGUUGUGUUAAUAGCACAGCAUUUUGACGUUACCUACAGAAGAAGCACCGGCUAACUCUGUGCCAGCCGCCGCCGUAACAC